rnacentral:rRNA from 1 species
UACGAAGGGGGGCGAGCGUUGUUCGGAAUCACUGGGCGUAAAGGGCGCGUAGGCGGCCCUCUUAGUCGCGUGUGAAAGCCCCGGGCUCAACCUGGGAACGGCGCGCGAAACGGGAGGGCUGGAGUUCGGGAGAGGAGAGUGGAAUUCCCAGUGUAGAGGUGAAAUUCGUAGAUAUUGGGAAGAACACCGGUGGCGAAGGCGGCUCUCUGGACCGAGACUGACGCAUGAGGCGGCGAAA